AGGGCGCACGGUGGAUGCCUUGGCACUAGAAGCCGAUGAAGGACGUUACUAACGACGAUAUGCUUUGGGGAGCUGUAAGUAAGCUUUGAUCCAGAGAUUUCCGAAUGGGGAAACCCAGCAUGAGUUAUGUCAUGUUAUCGAUAUGUGAAUACAUAGCAUAUCAGAAGGCACACCCGGAGAACUGAAACAUCUUAGUACCCGGAGGAAGAGAAAGAAAAUUCGAUUCCCUUAGUAGCGGCGAGCGAAACGGGAAGAGCCCAAACCAACAAGCUUGCUUGUUGGGGUUGUAGGACACUCUAUACGGAGUUACAAAGGACGACAUUAGACGAAUCAUCUGGAAAGAUGAAUCAAAGAAGGUAAUAAUCCUGUAGUCGAAAAUGUUGUCUCUCUUGAGUGGAUCCUGAGUACGACGGAGCACGUGAAAUUCCGUCGGAAUCUGGGAGGACCAUCUCCUAAGGCUAAAUACUCUCUAGUGACCGAUAGUGAACCAGUACCGUGAGGGAAAGGUGAAAAGCACCCCGGAAGGGGAGUGAAAUAGAACCUGAAACCGUGUGCUUACAAGUAGUCAGAGCCCGUUAAUGGGUGAUGGCGUGCCUUUUGUAGAAUGAACCGGCGAGUUACGAUUUGAUGCAAGGUUAAGCAGUAAAUGUGGAGCCGUAGCGAAAGCGAGUCUGAAUAGGGCGUUUAGUAUUUGGUCGUAGACCCGAAACCAGGUGAUCUACCCUUGGUCAGGUUGAAGUUCAGGUAACACUGAAUGGAGGACCGAACCGACUUACGUUGAAAAGUGAGCGGAUGAACUGAGGGUAGCGGAGAAAUUCCAAUCGAACCUGGAGAUAGCUGGUUCUCUCCGAAAUAGCUUUAGGGCUAGCCUCAAGUGAUGAUUAUUGGAGGUAGAGCACUGUUUGGACGAGGGGCCCCUCUCGGGUUACCGAAUUCAGACAAACUCCGAAUGCCAAUUAAUUUAACUUGGGAGUCAGAACAUGGGUGAUAAGGUCCGUGUUCGAAAGGGAAACAGCCCAGACCACCAGCUAAGGUCCCAAAAUAUAUGUUAAGUGGAAAAGGAUGUGGCGUUGCCCAGACAACUAGGAUGUUGGCUUAGAAGCAGCCAUCAUUUAAAGAGUGCGUAAUAGCUCACUAGUCGAGUGACACUGCGCCGAAAAUGUACCGGGGCUAAACAUAUUACCGAAGCUGUGGAUUGUCCUUUGGACAAUGGUAGGAGAGCGUUCUAAGGGCGUUGAAGCAUGAUCGUAAGGACAUGUGGAGCGCUUAGAAGUGAGAAUGCCGGUGUGAGUAGCGAAAGACGGGUGAGAAUCCCGUCCACCGAUUGACUAAGGUUUCCAGAGGAAGGCUCGUCCGCUCUGGGUUAGUCGGGUCCUAAGCUGAGGCCGACAGGCGUAGGCGAUGGAUAACAGGUUGAUAUUCCUGUACCACCUAUAAUCGUUUUAAUCGAUGGGGGGACGCAGUAGGAUAGGCGAAGCGUGCGAUUGGAUUGCACGUCUAAGCAGUAAGGCUGAGUAUUAGGCAAAUCCGGUACUCAUUAAGGCUGAGCUGUGAUGGGGAGAAGACAUUGUGUCUUCGAGUCGUUGAUUUCACACUGCCGAGAAAAGCCUCUAGAUAGAAAAUAGGUGCCCGUACCGCAAACCGACACAGGUAGUCAAGAUGAGAAUUCUAAGGUGAGCGAGCGAACUCUCGUUAAGGAACUCGGCAAAAUGACCCCGUAACUUCGGGAGAAGGGGUGCUCUUUAGGGUUAACGCCCAGAAGAGCCGCAGUGAAUAGGCCCAAGCGACUGUUUAUCAAAAACACAGGUCUCUGCUAAACCGUAAGGUGAUGUAUAGGGGCUGACGCCUGCCCGGUGCUGGAAGGUUAAGAGGAGUGGUUAGCUUCUGCGAAGCUACGAAUCGAAGCCCCAGUAAACGGCGGCCGUAACUAUAACGGUCCUAAGGUAGCGAAAUUCCUUGUCGGGUAAGUUCCGACCCGCACGAAAGGCGUAACGAUUUGGGCACUGUCUCAACGAGAGACUCGGUGAAAUCAUAGUACCUGUGAAGAUGCAGGUUACCCGCGACAGGACGGAAAGACCCCGUGGAGCUUUACUGUAGCCUGAUAUUGAAAUUCGGCACAGCUUGUACAGGAUAGGUAGGAGCCUUUGAAACGUGAGCGCUAGCUUACGUGGAGGCGCUGGUGGGAUACUACCCUAGCUGUGUUGGCUUUCUAACCCGCACCACUUAUCGUGGUGGGAGACAGUGUCAGGCGGGCAGUUUGACUGGGGCGGUCGCCUCCUAAAAGG
rnacentral:rRNA from 1 species